CGUGUGCUCUUCCGAUCUGAUGACUGGUGAAGCUGCAGUUGUGUGUAUGUUUAGUGGUAGUGAUGUCAAUUACAGGGAGAGCUGAGAGGAACAAGGUAGUGGUGAUGUUGUUGAGAUGCCAAUGGAUAUGUUGGUGAUGAUAAAAGAAGAUGGAAAUGGAACUGGUGGAAUCAGAAGGCAGGAUUGAUGCAAUG